rnacentral:rRNA from 1 species
AACGAACGCUGGCGGCAUGCCUAACACAUGCAAGUCGAACGAGACCUUCGGGUCUAGUGGCGCACGGGUGCGUAACGCGUGGGAACCUGCCCUUAGGUUCGGAAUAACUCCCCGAAAGGGGUGCUAAUACCGGAUAAUGUCUUCGGACCAAAGAUUUAUCGCCUUUGGAUGGGCCCGCGUUGGAUUAGCUAGUUGGUAGGGUAAAAGCCUACCAAGGCGAGGAUCCAUAGCUGGUCUGAGAGGAUGAUCAGCCACACUGGGACUGAGACACGGCCCAGACUCCUACGGGAGGCAGCAGUGGGGAAUAUUGGACAGUGGGCGAAAGCCUGAUCCAGCAAUGCCGCGUGAGUGAUGAAGGCCUUAGGGUUGUAAAGCUCUUUUACCCGGGAUGAUAAUGACAGUACCGGGAGAAGAAGCUCCGGCUAACUCCGUG